GUGGCGAACUGGUGAGUAACACGUGGGUAACCUGCCCUUGAAGUAGGGGAUAACACUUGGAAACAGGUGCUAAUACCGUAUAACAACCAAAACCACCUGGUUUUGGUUUAAAAGAUGGCUUCGGCUAUCACUUUAGGAUGGACCCGCGGCGUAUUAGCUUGUUGGUAAGGUAACGGCCUACCAAGGCAAUGAUACGUAGCCGACCUGAGAGGGUAAUCGGCCACAUUGGGACUGAGACACGGCCCAAACUCCUACGGGAGGCAGCAGUAGGGAAUCUUCCACAAUGGACGAAAGUCUGAUGGAGCAACGCCGCGUGAGUGAUGAAGGGUUUCGGCUCGUAAAACUCUGUUGUUGGAGAAGAACAGGUGUGAGAGUAACUGUUCACAUCUUGACGGUAUCCAACCAGAAAGCCACGGCUAACUACGUGCCAGCAGCCGCGGUAAUACGUAGGUGGCAAGCGUUGUCCGGAUUUAUUGGGCGUAAAGCGAGCGCAGGCGGUUUCUUAGGUCUGAUGUGAAAGCCUUCGGCUUAACCGGAGAAGUGCAUCGGAAACCAGGAGACUUGAGUGCAGAAGAGGACAGUGGAACUCCAUGUGUAGCGGUGAAAUGCGUAGAUAUAUGGAAGAACACCAGUGGCGAAGGCGGCUGUCUGGUCUGUAACUGACGCUGAGGCUCGAAAGCAUGGGUAGCGAACAGGAUUAGAUACCCUGGUAGUCCAUGCCGUAAACGAUGAGUGCUAAG
rnacentral:rRNA from 1 species